GCCAGUCUGGUGUAGUGGUUUAAGUUUUGGACUAUGACUCUGGAGACCAGGGUUUGAAUCCCUGCUCAGCCA